UACGUAGGGUGCGAGCGUUGUCCGGAAUUACUGGGCGUAAAGGGUACGUAGGCGGUUAGAAAAGUUAGAAGUGAAAGGCUAUAGCUCAACUAUAGUAAGCUUUUAAAACUGCUCAUCUUGAGGUAUGGAAGGGAAAGUGGAAUUCCUAGUGUAGCGGUGAAAUGCGCAGAUAUUAGGAGGAAUACCGGUGGCGAAGGCGACUUUCUGGCCAUUAUCUGACGCUGAGGUACGAAAGCGUGGGUAGCAAACAGG
rnacentral:rRNA from 1 species